rfam:Chlorocebus sabaeus isolate 1994-021 chromosome 14, whole genome shotgun sequence.
GAAUAGGUUUUUUUAAAAACCAAAACCUUGAAAAACAAUGAAGUUG